UACGUAGGGUGCGAGCGUUAAUCGGAAUUACUGGGCGUAAAGCGUGCGCAGGCGGUUUUGUAAGCCAGAUGUGAAAGCCCCGGGCUUUAACCUGGGAAUGGCAUUUGGGACUGCAAGGCUUGAGUGCGGCAGAGGAGACUGGAAUUCCUGGUGUAGCAGUGAAAUGCGUAGAUAUCAGGAGGAAUACCGAUGGCGAAGGCAGGUCUCUGGGCUGACACUGACGCUCAUGCACGAAAGCGUGGGGAGCAAACAGG
rnacentral:rRNA from 1 species